rnacentral:rRNA from 1 species
UACGGGGGGGGCAAGCGUUGUUCGGAAUUACUGGGCGUAAAGGGCUCGUAGGUGGCCAACUAAGUCAGACGUGAAAUCCCUCGGCUUAACCGGGGAACUGCGUCUGAUACUGGAUGGCUUGAGUUUGGGAGAGGGACGCGGAAUUCCAGGUGUAGCGGUGAAAUGCGUAGAUAUCUGGAGGAACACCGGUGGCGAAGGCGGGUCUCUGGACAGUUCCUGACGCUGAGGCACGAAGGCCAGGGGAGCAAACAGG